GUGGAAUUUUUGGCUUGACCAGAAGCAGGAAGAGUAGGAAAUGUUAUUUUAAAAAGUCCCGUUUUUCACACUGCUGAUGUCUGGAGAGUCGAGAUAAGCUUUGAGCCUACUUCCAAAUCUCUGGGUGCUCCUCCAAGCGUGCUGGAAAUGGGGGUGUGAAACAUAGCUUGCUGAUUAUCUAGGAAUUCAUGAGAAGAGAGAAGACUCGAGACAGGUUUUAGACAUUGGACACUAUUGCAUGGCAACAAUUGAGAACAAAAAUUCAUCUGCCUCAGCUAAUAUCCAGUGCCUCCUCAUAAUUGAAUUAAGCAAGUGGUGUAAUUAAAUGAUUCAAUGACAGCAUUUACUAAGUGGAUCCCUCAAAGAUGCCCAGUGUAGCUGUCAAGAGGCAAGAUAAGGCAUUUGCAAUUGGCGGUGUUUCAAAGGACUCCAGAUUUCUCCAAAGAACCUAGAUUUCCCAGUACUGAACAUGUGCAAAAUAGAAACAAACAUUCCCCAACUCUGCAACCUGAUCACAUCCCUACUUAGUCCUGUUUGUGGAGCCGCCUUAUUAACGACAUUAGAACAAAGAUAUGAACAGACAAUGAGGUCCUCCACCAGUGCUUCCUAGAACCUGGGGACAACACAGUUGCUAUGCAGCCAAUCCAUGCCCUGGAUGCAAGUUUCGCAGGCUCCAGUAUCAUUCUGGUCAUUCCUCUGCAAAACACUACUGAAAAAGCAGUUACGCAUGGGAUCUUGAAUUUUCCUGCAAAAAAAUGUAUUUGUAAGCCCUGGAUCUAGAGAUCUAGAGGCCUAUUGGUUAAUAA
rnacentral:lncRNA from 1 species